rnacentral:rRNA from 1 species
GACGAACGCUGGCGGCGCGCCUAACACAUGCAAGUCGAACGAGAGAUGAAGAGCUUGCUCUUCAAAUCGAGUGGCGAACGGGUGAGUAACGCGUGAGGAACCUGCCUCAAAGAGGGGGACAACAGUUGGAAACGACUGCUAAUACCGCAUAAGCCCACGGCCCGGCAUCGGGCUGCGGGAAAAGGAUUUAUUCGCUUCAGGAUGGACUCGCGUCCAAUUAGCUAGUUGGUGAGGUAACGGCCCACCAAGGCGACGAUUGGUAGCCGGACUGAGAGGUUGAACGGCCACAUUGGGACUGAGACACGGCCCAGACUCCUACGGGAGGCAGCAGUGGGGGAUAUUGCACAAUGGGGGAAACCCUGAUGCAGCGACGCCGCGUGGAGGAAGAAGGUUUUCGGAUUGUAAACUCCUGUCGUUAGGGACGAUAAUGACGGUAC